GCGUCUCAUGACCUUAGUUGUUGUGGAUCAUAUCACACGCUUAAUAUAUAUUGUUAGGUCAUGGAUCUUGACUUCACGGGCUUACAAUACUUUUGGUAUCCGACCGGGAAGGGUAGAUCAAAUAUCUCCUAUUGUCCUCACGACAAAGUCUUGUGUAGGUUACACAGCAGCUGUAAACUAUUCUGCUAUCCCGGAUCCUUAAGGGAUCUGAUGUCGGAUUAUAACCUGUUGGUUGAUCUUUUAUACUAGCCGUGAUCAAAGGAUAUGAGUCGGACAUCCUUGGUAGAAGGGGCCGGAUGCUUAUAGCCUGAGGGCUGGACGCUUUUGGCCAGAGAGCCGGAUGCUCUUAGUUGGUGUGCUCACUACAAGAAAACACGUGAUUCCCGACCACGGAUUGCGACUGAAAAGGUAGUCGCAAAAUAUAACGACUAUGACACGACUGUUAGGCGACUAAUUGGCGACGCAGAAAAACGGUCGCAGAACAGACGCAAAUUAACGACUACAACAACCAGUCGUAGUUUAGUCGCUAAAUAACGACUGGCUGGCGACUAAUACCAUGUCGGAAAUGUUCAGUCGUAUUAUAGUCGGUAAAUAGGGACUGAUUAACGACUAUGCGUAUGUACAACAACCAGUCGUAGUUUAGUCGCUAAAUAACGACUGUCUGGCGACUAAUACCAUGUCGGAAAUGUUCACUCGCAUUAUAGUCGGUAAAUAGCGACUGAUUAACGACUAUGCGUAUGUGGUCAUUAUUUCGUCGUUAAUCAGUCGGUUAAAACCGGUACAUAGCACGUUUUUUACAUUUUUGGUCAUUGUACCUAAUAUUUUGGUUAGUCAGUCUUUAGUCGCUAAUAAGUCAGGCAAUUUACAAUGUAAUACAGACGGUGUCUCCCCACAUUUCUGCUGAUAAACCGUAGAAACAAAUUUCAAAAAACAAAAUCGUGAAAGACAAAAAAAAAAAGAUUGUUUGAAGUGUUACAAUGUCGGGAAAUAACAACAAUGCUAAUUUUCGAGAUUGGAUGUACAAGAGGAUCGAUGAACGGACGGGAGAUUUCUCGGAAGAAUUCGUAGCAGGGGUGGAUCAAUUCAUGACAUUUGCCAAUAGUCAGCCUCUCACGCAAAGCAACGGGGGUAAAUUUUUCUGUCCAUGUAGUGUUUGCAAAAACGAUAAAUUUCUUCCGGGGUCAAAAAUUUGGAAACAUAUAUAUAGUAGAGGAUUCAUGCAAGAUUAUUAUGUUUGGUAUAAUCAUGGAUAAGAAAUUGAUAUGGCAUUAGGAACGAGUCAUGUUGACCCGACACAUUUAAGUGGUAAUGAAGAAGUUGGUACUGAAGAUAUAUAUGUUGAUAUGGUAAAUGAUGCUUUUCGUGAUAAUGUGAGUUCUGACAAUUAUCACCAGGGUGGUAGUUACCCGGAUGGUAGUUACCAGAAUGUAGUAGACGAUGCAUGCAACCAUUCAAAAAAGUUUUAUGAUUUGUUAGAAGGAGCAAAAAAUCCCUUGUAUGAUGGUUGUCGUGAAGGUCACUCGCAGUUAUCCUUAGCUGCUCCAGUCUUGCAAACUAAGGCAGAUUAUAAUAUGAGUGAAAAAUGUGUGGAUUCGGUGUGCCAAAUGCUGAAUGACUAUUUACCUGAUGGAAACAUGGCAACCGACUCAAACUAUGAGACAGAAAAGUUGAUGCGCAAUUUAGGGCUCCCAUAUUAUACAAUUGAUGUUUGUAUCAACAAUUGUAUGAUAUUUUGGGAAGAAGAUGAAAGGUGGGAUACGUGCCAGUUUUGUGGUGCAGAAAGAUGGAAGCCGAGAGACAAACGACGUAGAACGAAAGUACCAUAUAGUCGUAUGUGGUAUCUACCUAUAGCUGAUAGGUUGAAAAGAAUGUAUCAGAGCAAGAAGACUGCAGCGGCAAUGAGGUGGCAUGCUGAACACCAAGCAAAAGACAGAGAAAUGUGUCAUCCAUCUGAUGCGGCCGAGUGGAAAAACUUCCAAGGAAUACAUCCCCAGUUUGCCGAAGAACCGCGUAACGUUUAUCUUGGAUUAUGUACAGAUGGAUUCAAUCCAUUUGGGAUGUCUCAUAAUCAUUCGCUGUGGCCUGUGAUCUUGACUCCGUACAAUCUGCCCCCGGGUAUGUGCAUGAAAACGGAGUACUUGUUUCUUACAAUUCUAAAUUCUGGGCCAAAGCAUCCGCGAGCUAGUCUUGAUAUCUUCCUCAAACCUCUGAUCGCAGAGCUCAAAGAAUUGUGGUCAACUGGAGUUGAAGCAUACGAUGUGUCCUUGAAUCAAAAUUUUAACCUAAAAGCCGUGCUUUUGUGGACGAUAAGCGACUUUCCGGCGUACGGCAUGCUUUCCGGAUGGACGACCCAUGGUAAAUUGGCAUGUCCAAUUUGCAUGGAAGAUACAAAGGCUUUUUAUCUGUCUAAUGGAAGGAAGACGUGUUGGUUUGAUUGUCACAGAAGAUUUCUUCCUUGUAAUCAUCCACUAAGGAAGAAUAAAAAGGAUUUCUUGAAGGGAAAACACGCCUUAAAUGAAUUUCCACCUGUUUCUUUAACUGGUGAGCAAGUUUAUUCUGAACAUUUAAAAGGUGCUGAACCACCAAAAACGUCUUCUUGCGGUGGAAACGGUCAUGAAAAGAAGAAGCCUGGAUAUGGAAAGUACCAUAAUUGGCACAAGGAAAGCAUAUUUUGGGAGUUGCCAUACUGGAGGGAUCUAAUUCUUCGACAUAAUCUUGAUGUGAUGCAUAUUGAGAAGAAUUUCUUUGACAACAUCAUGAAUACUCUUAUGAAUGUGAAGGGUAAAUCGAAAGACACAAUCCAGUCACGAUUGGAUAUAUCAGAGAUUUGUGAUCGGUCACACUUACAUGUUGAUGAUGAUGGUCAAGCUCCAUUUCCUCCCUACACAUUAGACAAAGCCGGGAAAAAAAGUUUAUUGGAAUGUGUGAAAUGUGAAGUUAAAUUCCCCGACGGUUAAGCUUCAGACUUAGCUAAUUGUGUUGAUAUAGAGAACAACAAGUUCUCUGGCAUGAAGAGUCAUGACUGCCAUGUUUUUAUGGAGCGGCUACUUCCAUUUAUCUUUUCAGAGCUUCUUGGCAAAAACGUCCAUCGUGCGUUAUCAGGUUCUAAAUUUUUGUUUUGAUUUUAUAUUAAAUGAUACAACUUAAUCUAUAAUUAUCAAUAAUAUUUUAAAUUUUGUAGGUGUUGGAUUAUUUUUCCGUGACCUUUACUCGAGAACUUUGCAGAAAGAUCGUCUCCAAAUUCUAAAGAAAAACAUUGUUUUGAUCAUCUGCAAUUUAGAGAAGAUCUUUCCACCAUCAUUUUUUGAUGUAAUGCAGCAUCUCCCUGUACACCUCCCAUACGAAGCUGAACUAGGAGGACCUGUCAAUUAUAGGUGGAUGUAUGUCUUUGAAAGGAAUUUCAAAAAGUUGAAAGCAAAAGCAAAGAACAAAAGAUUUGCUGCUGGAUCGAUUGUUGAAUCAUAUAUCAAUGAGGAGAUAGCUUACUUUACUGAGCACUACUUUGCUGAUCAUAUACAAACAAAAUCAAGGUAAACACUUUCAUUAUUCUAGAGAUCGAUUCACUUUUUUUUUAUUGUGUACUCAUAUUUUUAUGUAAUGUGGAUCGUUAAUUUGUGCAGGUUAACAAGAUUUGAUGAAGGUGAAGUUCAUGUAUAUCAUGUCUCCGGAGUACCUGAUAUAUUUACGCAUGUUGGUCGUCCAAGUGGGGAAAUGCAAGAAAUAUGGCUUUCCGAGAAAGAUUAUAAUUGCGCACAUUCAUAUGUAUUGCGAAAUUGUGAUUAUUUUCAGCCAUUUGAGAGGUAUUAUUUGGUAAUUAUCCUCUUCUAUUACAAUAUAUCACAAUAAUUAACUAUACUAAUUUGUGGUGGUGAACUCAUAUAGGAUGUUUGAAGAUUAUCUAUCUACAAAAUAUCUAGACCUCUCCGAGAAAGAACUCUCCGCAAAGAGAGCUGACGAAUAUCAUACUUGGGUGAAAGAUUAUGUAUGUUUCAGCAAUAAUAUUAGUGGAAUUAUUGUGUCUAUAAUUAUAUAUAUUGAUAUUUUAUAUAUAUGCAGGUUUGUUACUGGAGUAAUACACAUAAGUUUCCUGUGUGGGUCAAAGAUAUCGCGAGUGGACCUGUGAAUAAGGCCAAAAGCUGGCCCAUCUACUUCAGCAGAGGUUUCUUAUUUCAUACGCAGAAACAUGGUGAGGGACGAAAGACUUGUAACUAUGGGAUAUGUGUUAAAGGAGAGAGUUAUACAAAUGCAUCAGAUGAAGCUGAUUACUACGGAAUCUUAACUGAUAUCAUUCAAAUUGAGUACGAGGGGGCGGUGGAUUUGAAAAUCACACUUUUCAAGUGUAAAUGGUAUGACCCUAAAAUUGGCAGAGGCACUCGGCGGAGCAACAGUGGCAUCGUAGACAUUCUUUCAUCGAGGAAAUACUAUAAAUACGAACCAUUUAUUCUAGGUAUGUAUUAUUUAUACAUAUUAAUUAAUGUCCAUAAAUAUAUUAUUAACUUUUUAUUAUUUGAUAACAGCAUCUCAAGCACAUCAAGUUUGUUACAUCUCGUAUCCGUAUGUAAAAAAACCAAAACAGUCGUGGUACAAUGUCUUAAAAGUGAACCCGAGGGGAAUUAUUUCAGGAGAAUACGAAGACAAAGAAUCGACACUGUUACAACAAGACAAUGAUGAUGCUGUAUUGAUGACUACAAUUGAAGAUCUAGCAGUCGACCAUUUGUCGCAUGUUCGAAGAGAACCGAUAAAUCUCGAUAUUGAUGUCGAAGAUGAAGAAUCGGAAGAUGAAUUCCAAUGUAAUAAAUCUUCUUCUUCUGAUGAUGAUGAUGGUGAAGAUGGAAAAACACCAUACUAAAAUAUUUUACAAUAAAUUGUAAGUCAUAUCCCUAAACUUAUGUUAUUUUUUUUUCUAUAAUGUGAAAAUAAUGUUAUGUUAGCUGCUUUUUAAUAACGUGUUUUGAUAUUGUUAAGUGAUUAAAAAAAAAGCAAAACCAAAACAAAAGCGAAACCAAAAAAAAAAGUAAAACCAAAACAAACUAAUUUUCUAAAUCCCGCCUAACCCAAAUCCACAAUCCCGCCUAACCAAAUUUACCAUCCCGCUAAGCCCAAUUAUACCCAAAAUCAAAAUAAAGACAAACACCUAAGCAUAACACUAAUAUACAUCAUUCUCUCGUUCUCUCUCGAUGCCGACAGAACACAAAGAACCCUAGUCCUAAAUCUCUCACUCUCUCUCGAAAAUCUAUCACCUUCUAUCCAAAUCUCUCACUCUGUCGAAAUCAAAAGCGAAAUCCAGAAACCCUCAUCUAUCUUUUAACCCGAAAGAACCCUAAUCUCUCAUCUCUUUCUGAAACGAUGGGAUCGAAAAAGAAGCAGAAACAAUCCCAACAAUCUCCCCUUCCCUCGCAGUACCAGUUCUUCCCUAGGACGACGGCUCCUCCCGUCCCCAACCGCCGAUCUCCACCAGGCGUGAGUGACUACCCACCUCCGAGGCAACUCUUCCAAGACUCACAUGCACAAACUGAAGCUGCUUCUGCGCAUGUUCCUCAACCAUCUCCACCUCCACCUCCAGAACCUCGACGGACUGAAACGUCAGCAGCGCGAAAUGGUCCGAGCAGUUCUGAGGCUCAAGACUCUGCGAGUACAGAACGUCCAGAAGCUGUGAACCCAACUCUCUCUGAUGGGUUCUUGCGUCAAAUCAACGAACUGAUUUCCCAGCCAAAUCGGGGCCGCGACAUACCCAUCCUAUCCCCAAACUUUGAGCCUGGAACAACAUGUUUUUUCAGUUAGCUGGUUGAAUACUAUACGAGGCUUGCUUAGCUCACACCUUUUUCAGUUCACUUGAAUGUUUAGAGUGUCUGAUGUAAGCUCACUUUGUCUUUAAAUUUGGCUUGCUUUGGUUGGCUUAGUCACUGGUUUAUUACUUCUGUUCCGAUCUAAUAAAUUCAUUAUUUUGUUUCUGUGUUUUGAGGUUUGGUCGUGACAAAGGGAAACUGACCCGGAGGAUCUCAAAGGUUUGGUCGUGACAAUAUUUAUAGAAUUUGCAAAAACUCAAACUUGGAGUCAAAUACACACUGGUCUUGUCCAGGAAAAAUUUGAUAGCAUAUGUCAGCUACGUAUGAAAGACAUGGUUAGCAUUUGUAGGAGGAAACGAAAGCAACCAAUCUGGAUCCAUGAUACUCUGUGGGAAGAAAUGACAGCGUAUUGGGACACUCCUGCAGCGAAAAAAAAAAGUGAAACUGCAUCAGUGGCUCGUUUGUCUGAACGGAACGGACUUGGUCCACACAAGCACAACACUGGCCAGAAGUCUUUCCAACAAAUCGAAUAUGAAAUGGUUGAAGAAUUGGGCAGACCAGUUUCUCUUGGUGAAGUUUACAUCAAGACACAUACAAAAAAGGAUGGGACCUAUGUUGAUUUGAAAGCUGAGCAGGUUGCAGAGAUAUAUAAGAAGAACAAAGAAGCCAAGUUGACUGCCCUUGAGGCUGAAAACUCAGAGAGUUCAGAUGGUGCUUCCAAUGAUCGACAGCUCUCCAUAGAGGAGGAUACCGAGAUAUUCCUUUUGUCUACUUUCACAGAUGAAAGAGGACAUUACUAUGGCAUUGGAAGCCUCCAGCAAACUCUCGUCAAUGGUAAACGGAAGUACAGUGAGGUCUCUUCUUCUGCAUUCCUUGACAUGAAUAAGCAGCUUGAAGAAGCUCACCGCAAAAUAGAAGAGCAGGCUGCUUCUAAUGCAGCACAGGCUACUACUAUUGCUGAGCAGGGCUCUACUAUUGCAGAGCAAGGUGCUACUAUUGCAGAGCAGGGUGCUACUAUUGCAGAGCAAGCAAAGCAGAUCAAUGAAUUUGCUGUAGUGAAGAAGUUUCUGUCUGCAACUGAUCAUAGAUUUGAUCAGUUCGUAUCUACUAAUUCCACCAUCAUACUUUCUUGUUUAUGUCUCUUGGACAUGAAACUUGACUUUUGUUUAGUUGUUUGUCAACAUCUUUUGUAAACUCUCGGUGGUAGAUAACUUUUUUUGUAAACUCUCGGUGGUAGGUAACUUUUUUUGUAAACUCUCGGUGGUUCACAUUUUCAGGUUUAAAAUUAACUAGUGUUUUCAAA